AUAUUAAGAGCACAUCUCAUAAAGGCAAACUGACUGUGCGACAGAAAGCAACGCAACACAGAUUCAAAAGAUACUGUAAAAUAACGGAUGGAACAAUGGCUUCAAAACGAUUUUAAAAUUUAUACCUUCUCUCUUGAGAUGUGAUAAGGUGGAGCAGAUCAACGGGAACAUGGGAACUGCAAGGCAGGUCGACUUUGACUGGCACAGCAUUGUCUAAAGAAAUAAACCGAAGAAUGGUUGCCAUUUAUUUUGAUGCUGCAGAUCUGCCUAGUUUCUCCAGCACGUUCCACAUAUGUCCCAAACCCUUGUCACUGGAAUCAACAGCCAAUUUGAUACCUUCUCAUAACUGGGCAUGGCUAAAACCAAUGUUAUUGUCAGAACAGUAUUUGUGUAUUCAAAAGCUCUUUGACACUCUUAUGUUCAUUCACUCUUGUGCCUUCUUCAACAAUUCAUUAAAGAUACAGUGACACUGCUGAAUUUCAGGACAAAGUUGAUAAAAUCCGUUCAUGCCAACUUAAUUCAAAUGUUCAUAUUUUCUCCAGAGUAUAGAAAAAUCCAAAUUAGCUCUUAAUUUCACUUCUGAAGGUGCUACCUGGCCUUGAAACACACUGUGACCAAGUGAACUUUGCAUGGUCAAAUUCACUCUUUGCCAGAUUUAUAACCUUGGGUUAAAAAUGGGCUUUUUGCAGCCCAUCA